CCGCCGCGCGCCGCAGACAUGACCUGACGCGGAGCGGGCGGCGCUGGAGGCGCGCGCGGCCGGGGCGGAGCACGGAGCGGCGCUGGAGCACGGCCGGGACGGAGCACGGGGCGGCGCUGGAGCACGGACUGAGAGAAUGUCGGCGGCGACAGGAGGGCGUGGGACCGAGUAACCCGCGUGGCGCGGCCACUGAUCCCUGCGCACCGGUCGUCGGCGGCGGCGUGUGCGGCGCUCCACCGGCGGCGCCGCGGCCUGCACCAUUCUCUACACCUUCCACUGGUCCAUCCUGAAGCAUGGCACUCCAGCCGCCCGUGGAGGUGACACUGCGAUGGGCGAGACGCGGCGGCGAGCCCGUCCGAUGAGCGCACCCGGCCGGCCGGCAGCCGCCGACGGACUCGGCGCGGCCUGGCCCGGCCGGCCGCCGGCCGAGCCGCCGCCCUCCCAGCCCUCCGGCGAGCUGGUCGAGGUGACGCUGGGCCGGCCGGCCGGACCGGCGUUCGGGCCGCCCAGCCAUGUGCCCACGCUGUCCACCUUCUCCGGCGGCCGGUCGGAGGGCGUGGAGGCGCGCGCCGGUCACCAGCGGGCGC